rnacentral:rRNA from 1 species
UACAGAGGGGGGCAAGCGUUGUUCGGAAUUACUGGGCGUAAAGGGCGUGUAGGCGGCCUUCUAAGUCAGACGUGAAAUCCCUCGGCUCAACCGAGGAACUGCGUCUGAUACUGGAAGGCUUGAAUCCGGGAGAGGGAUGUGGAAUUCCAGGUGUAGCGGUGAAAUGCGUAGAUAUCUGGAGGAACAUCGGUGGCGAAGGCGGCAUCCUGGACCGGUAUUGACGCUGAGGGCGCGAAAAGCCAGGG